CACCGUUUCCACCACCUCGCCCUAUACGGCGCGAACGCACGCCCUUUCCAUCCCCCCUUAGCACCUCAUCUCGUCUCAGUAUUCCUAUAUCCCCCGCAGUUUGCUUACAGCACCGCAGCCUUUUCUGUCCUCUGCGCCCACAUGUCCAUGUACCAGUCGUUGAUCCCUGCCGACGCGCGCCGUGCGGAGUGCGAGCGUGUGUGCCGCGAGCACCCCGAGCAGCUGCCGGUCGUGGUCGAAUCGGCCAACUCGAGCCAUGUCCGCUUCCUCGCCGUGCCGCGCGACGCCACCGUGGCUGACCUCGAGGCUGAGGUGCGCCAGACGCUGGGGACGACAAACAAGAAGGUGGCGCUGGCGAUCGAGGGCUGCAGUCCUGCUGCGACAACGGUGGUGGGCGACAUCUUCGACGCCUGCAAGCAGGUCGACGGCUUCCUCUACGUCUCGUGCGCGCGCGAGCCGUCGAUGGGCGCCAAGGACUUUUGCUGUUUUGGCAACACGGGCAAGUACUUCGCGGAUAUCGAGAAUAACCCGAACCUGCUUGGCUCCUUGUAACGCCUACCGGACUCUGUCGCCGGUGAUAGCGUUAGUGUUGGCAACGGUAAGCACAUUCUGUGGUGAAAGGCUGCUGCGAAAGGAUAUGCGGUGAGUCCUAGGCACCUGCUGUGUCCUGUCAGGUCGCCUGCCUCAGCCUCUAGCCGCCCACGUGGCACGCAUGACCUCUCUGGAGAGUGGUGCUUAUAUCGCGUGCGCAUGGUUUUUUUCUCUUUUUCGCGGCACUGAUGACCCCACCCCUCCUCAUCCCUCCAUCACCUGUCUGUCUGUUUCACACACACACACACACCAGCCGAGGGCUGGGAAUGUGCCGUUAGUGUGUCCAAGUAGAGCAGAAGAUGGCAGGCGGAUAAAGUGAUUGGGUAGAGUGGACAGCGAUGGGGUGAGGUGUGGGAUGGCCACCGCUGCCCAUUUUCCUUCCACGUCCCCCCUCCCACCUGCAUUAUGAUAUACAUAUACACACACACACAUCUAUCUGCAUCUCUACAUGCUAUUGUCGUGCCGUGUUCCUAUACAUAUAUAUAUAUAUAUAUAUUUGCAUGGGUGGCACUGGCGCGUCCUAAAAGGAUGCGCUGAACGAAACCCGGGAAAUAAAAGGAAAAGUAACAUGGAAAACAGAAAAAAGCGGGGAAUGACCUGAAAGGUGGCCACUCUUUCUGCCUGCCUGUGUGUCUGUCUGUGUGUGGUGGUGUAUUUUCAUGGAAAGAACAUCUGGUGGUCGGCAUUCGUUACUACUCCAGGGCUCCGGGAGAAUCAAAAUGGCCUGGCGAACAGUCUCGGCCACAGUGGGGGGAAGGAGGAGGAGGGUCGGCGUCGAUACGAGGGAGGGCAGCUGCUGGAGCCGCGAGCGAGCAGCAACGAAGAAGUUGACGGAAACGAGACAGGGGCGGCCUCUUACUUUUUUUUCGUGAAAGCGUGUCUACUCUGGACCACCACCAUAUACCGUGCCGCCCCCUCCCCUCCCCUGCUUCCUCUACUCCCUCGUGUGAGCUCUCCCGGCGACGCAGCUGAGGGUGUUAGUAGUAGCUCUGUCUUGCUCGGCCGACGCAGGCACUGUGUUUGCCCUCAUAGCGAUUAGAGCACUUCAUAUCGUGCCCCUCGUCUCUUGUGCAGAGGAAAGCCGAGGGCGCGCGGACGUCUCUCUUCUCCCCGCAGCUUUUGGCUGCCUCGCACCCCGCACUCCUUGUGCUCCUCGCAUCACUGCGCCCCUUUAGAAUCUCUCUCUGCCGCUGUCAGUGUAUGUCUGUGUCACUCCUGCAGUGGCUGUGUUCAUGUGUUUCGAGCUUGCCCAACGUGCGCAUCUCGGGACGCAACGUCUACACUCACGCUACGCCGAAAGCCUCGGUGGUGUGCCGAUACGCCAGAGGGGAAAGGGGCAGGGUUCGUUGUUUCUCUCUCCUCUCCCCCUCCUCUACAUAUUUUUUUUCUUGUGCGUCUACCAUUCAUUUCAGCUCCGUCUUCUCAUUUGGUUUCUUCUCCCCUUUUCGCCUCUCUUGUUUUGUCCGAUGUGCGUCAGAGACCUAGCUCAUUGUCGAUGCCAGUAAGUGUCUGUGUGCACUGUGUGGUGGCUUCCUGUGUCUCCUUGUAUAUGGGUCUGUCGCAGCAGACACGUAUGCAGCGUUUCUCGGGUGUUUCCGCCUACUUCUCCCCUUCUGAAUGCUGGAGUGAGUGAAGGAAGCUGGAAGCGCUGCUGCACACUCGGGUCUCGUUUCAACACCUUUGGCCUUAUCUGGUGGGCUCUGUGGGUGUGUGGGUGUGUGCAACAAGCUCAUUUACCCCACCCCCUUUCCCUCUCCCCACUCCCAACCCUCAUUCUUGUUCCCUUUCCCGCUCCACGACCCACCCUUUGGGGUCCACUUCAUGUGUCCAGUUGCUUCGGCUUGGUCUACUCCUCUUUUUUAUUCUUUUUACCUCUCUGUCAGUCUCUCUUCCAUUUUCAUCAUCUAUGUGACUCAACCUGUGCUUCUUCCGUGCCGUCCACCUCCCUGGCGAGCACACGACAGAGGCGUCCUAUUUAGUAAUCGCUGCGUUUGCGCGCUGGUACCU
rnacentral:misc_RNA from 1 species